rnacentral:lncRNA from 1 species
AUUUAUGAAACAAGGAUGGCUACCUGGCUGUCUUCCCACCAAGGCUCUCAAGAGGUGAAAGUGCAUAUGGGAAAGUGCCGAGGGCCAUAAGAGCCACCCCAGGCCAGUGGCUGGUGUUUAUCUCCUGGACCAGGGCAGGAAACGUUCCUCUGGCAAAAGACGAGAGAAUGAGCGGCAGGAUCAAGAAGCCCCUGGAAAGUGUUCUACUCUGGUAUUGUUUCUGCCCCCUCAAAGUCCUUCAGUCAUUCAACGAACAUAAGUAGAGCUCUGGGCCAGUGCUUGCAGUGGGAGAAGGAGUAACAUGAACAAAGUCCAGUCCUGCUACAGAAGAGUGUUGAAAUUAGGCUUUGAUAGCCAAG